UACGUAGGUGGCGAGCGUUGUCCGGAAUUACUGGGUGUAAAGGGCGUGUAGGCGGGGAGACAAGUCAGAUGUGAAAUACCGUGGCUUAACUGCGGGGCUGCAUCUGAAACUGUUUUUCUUGAGUGUCGGAGAGGAAAGUGGAAUUCCCAGUGUAGCGGUGAAAUGCGUAGAUAUUGGGAGGAACACCAGUGGCGAAGGCGACUUUCUGGACGAUAACUGACGCUGAGGCGCGAAAGCGUGGGGAGCAAACAGG
rnacentral:rRNA from 1 species